UUUAACCAUUUUGAAGUGUAUGCUGCUGCUGUUUGGAUCCCGAAUGCCGCUCCUUUCUCCUCUCAUUUCUUGGAUUCCAUGAGGUGACAGACCUUGUUUACCACAUGUUCCCUCCACCAUGUGCUGUGACCAUGAGCUGAAAACUCUGAAACUGUGAGGAAAAAAUAGACCUUUGUUCUUUAUAAGCUGACUAUCUCAGGGACUUUGUCACAGUGAUAGAAAGUUCUGUGACAUAAAGGACGUGCACGUGGUCACGCUUCCAUCACCACCAUGCAUCUCCAAAACCUUUCACUUCCCUCUGACACCCACACACUAAAUACCGACUGCCCGGUGCUUUCUCCUGACAGCCGCUCCCGCCUUGUCUGUGAGGCUGGCCGGCCACUCUAGGAAGUUCAUGCAUGAGGAACUAUGUAGACUUUACCUUUAGAACUGUUUUCACAUUUAUGUGUGCGUGCACAUACACACCAAGACACACAUGCAGAGGUCAGACAGGUGUGGGUCACUUCCCAUCGUGUGGCUUCGGCCAAGGCCUCCUGCUGAGCUUUCUCCCUGGCCCAGUAUUGGCUGUUUUGAGGUUGGCUUACUUCAAGGUUCAUCCACAUUUCAGUGUGUCCCCAAUAUGUGCCUGCUUUUGAAAGCUGGCUAGCAUCCCUCUCUGGAUGGAGUUUUGUUUCUUCGUUCUACCCAUCCACAGGCACUGAGCUGGCCCCGCUUUUGCUCAGAGCCUAAUGAGCUUUCUUAUCACUCUGUGAAGUCUCCACCAAUUAAGGACACCUCCUCCUCGUCAGCAUGUGCUGAACUUGGCAAUGGAGUUGAUGUUCCUAACUCCUAUCGGGUAGGAAGACAUCCUCAGGAAGUGAAACCUCAGGGUCUAGGAACUAGGGUCCCUGCUGAUUCCGAGCCUCUUCCAGCCCAGCUCCGGAGAACACGUUACUGAUGGAUAAUGGCACACUUACGCCUGUGGGUGCCGCGCCAUCCCUGCUGCCUUGUCAUACAGCUCCCAGGCAGAUGAGGCAGUGUUGCUAUUUUACCUGCAUGCAAGUGGAGGCUCUCGGGGUCCUGUCAUGUGACCAGGGUCCACAGUUGGUUGGAGACAGAGCAGGGAUUUGAACCACUGUGUAUGUUUCCUCAUAGCACCUCAGGGGCCCUUCUGGUUUAUACUCCAGAUCCAGCAGGAACAUUGGCUGUCUGAGGUGCUGUUCGAAGUCGCCUCAGGCUGAGCCCCAGCCAGCUCACCUGACUUCAGGGUGACUAGCAGCUGAUGGUAUCUUCCACUGAGCACCUUGGCUCUCCCCACACAGCCCUGCUCCAGCCCACGUCGGGGAAUGCCUACAUUUGUCCUCCUACUUGGGAGCAAAUGUGGCCGCAGCCAGCUGAGAAGCAGAUGCCUAGAGGAGCCUCCUCCCUUAAUCCUGCACUCAUAGGGACCAAGUUUCUUAGUCACCAAUGACAGCCCACCACAAACAUGCAGAAGACGAGGAGUCAGUGGGGAUAAACAACCUUAAUAAACAAACCUUAAUGUC